AGAGUUUGAUCAUGGCUCAGGAUGAACGCYGGCGGCGUGCUUAACACAUGCAAGUCGAACGAUGACCYGGUGCUUGCACCGGUGAUUAGUGGCGAACGGGUGARUAACACGUGAGUAACCUGCCCUUAACUCUGGGAUAAGCCUGGGAAACUGGGUCUAAUACCGGAUAUGACUCCUCAUCGCAUGGGUGGGGGGUGAAAGUCUUUUUUGUGGUUUUGGAUGGACUCGCGGCCUAUCAGCUUGUUGRUGAGGUAAUGGCUCACCAAGGCGACGACGGGUAGCCGGCCUGAGAGGGUGACCGGCCACACUGGGACUGAGACACGGCCCAGACUCCUACGGGAGGCAGCAGUGGGGAAUAUUGCACAAUGGGCGCAAGCCUGAUGCAGCGACGCCGCGUGAGGGAUGACGGCCUUCGGGUUGUAAACCUCUUUCAGUAGGGAAGAAGCGUAAGUGACGGUACCUGCAGAAGAAGCGCCGGCUAACUACGUGCCAGCAGCCGCGGUAAUA
rnacentral:rRNA from 1 species